UCACAUGAUGUUAUAAUUUGCGAUUGAAAUCGACGCUGGAGACCCUCGCCGGGGUCUCUUAACAGCGCCGAAGAGAUGAUAUUCUAUUCUUACAUAUACUGAAC
rfam:Exophiala sideris strain CBS 121828 unplaced genomic scaffold supercont1.3, whole genome shotgun sequence.